rnacentral:rRNA from 1 species
UGGGGAAUUUUGGACAAUGGGGGCAACCCUGAUCCAGCAAUGCCGCGUGUGUGAAGAAGGCCUUCGGGUUGUAAAGCACUUUUGUCCGGAAAGAAAACGCCGUGGUUAAUACCCGUGGCGGAUGACGGUACCGGAAGAAUAAGCACCGGCUAACUACGUGCCAGCAGCCGCGGUAAUACGUAGGGUGCAAGCGUUAAUCGGAAUUACUGGGCGUAAAGCGUGCGCAGGCGGUCCGCUAAGACAGAUGUGAAAUCCCCGGGCUUAACCUGGGAACUGCAUUUGUAACUGGCGGGCUAGAGUAUGGCAGAGGGGGGUAGAAUUCCACGUGUAGCAGUGAAAUGCGUAGAGAUGUGGAGAAUACCGAUGGCGAAGGCAGCCCCUGGCCAAUACUGAGCUCAUGCACGAAAGCGUGGGGAGCAAACAGGAUUAGAUACCCUGGUAGUCCACGCCCU